UACGGAGGGUGCGAGCGUUAAUCGGAAUUACUGGGCGUAAAGCGUGCGUAGGCGGCUCGUUAAGUCAGAUGUGAAAGCCCUGGGCUCAACCUGGGAACUGCAUUUGAAACUGGCGAGCUAGAGUUGAGUAGAGGGGAGUGGAAUUUCAGGUGUAGCGGUGAAAUGCGUAGAUAUCUGAAGGAACACCAGUGGCGAAGGCGACUCCCUGGACUCAAACUGACGCUGAGGUACGAAAGCGUGGGUAGCAAACAGG
rnacentral:rRNA from 1 species